GAUGAACGCUGGCGGCGUGCCUAAUACAUGCAAGUCGAGCGAACAGACGAGGAGCUUGCUCCUCUGACGUUAGCGGCGGACGGGUGAGUAACACGUGGAUAACCUACCUAUAAGACUGGGAUAACUUCGGGAAACCGGAGCUAAUACCGGAUAAUAUAUUGAACCGCAUGGUUCAAUAGUGGAAGACGGUUUUGCUGUCACUUAUAGAUGGAUCCGCGCCGCAUUAGCUAGUUGGUAAGGUAACGGCUUACCAAGGCAACGAUGCGUAGCCGACCUGAGAGGGUGAUCGGCCACACUGGAACUGAGGCACGGUCCAGACUCCUACGGGAGGCAGCAGUAGGGAAUCUUCCGCCAUGGGCGAAAGCCUGACGGAGCAACGCCGCGUGAGUGAUGAAGGUCUUCGGAUCGUAAAACUCUGUUAUUAGGGAAGAACAAAUGUGUAAGUAACUAUGCACGUCUUGACGGUACCUAAUCAGAAAGCCACGGCUAACUACGUG
rnacentral:rRNA from 1 species